rnacentral:lncRNA from 1 species
AACAAGUAUGUGCUCAGCGAAUGUUUGUUGAGUGUGUGGAUACCCAGAACAGGAGGAACACCUUGCCCACUUCUGAAAUCUUUCACUGAACUUCAGACUCCUGGUACAGAGACCCCUGGGGAGCUCACACUGCGCACCCUGCAGGCAUCAGGGCUGAUGCUAGCUUCCAGGCAUGUUGGAGACCGGAUGGUGAAUGGCGAUGGGCUGCAUCCUCUCUCCAGGAGGGCUAAGCCUGGGGGCCCGAGGUAAUAAAUUUGUUCCUUAAUGAGCUUCCUCAGGAUCCAGCCAGGCCCCAGUCAAGGCCUGUCUCUGCCUUGGCACCUCAGGCACAGUCCUGGAGAAGCCAGGACCAGACCCCUCCCCAGGGAUCAGCAGCAGCCUCCACCGGGACUCGGAAUGUAUUAGGCCAUUAUCCCACCAAAGAUGGAAGCCCAAGCCCAUGUCCUCUCUUCCCCAGGGUUCAGAACAAGCCCAGCAACACUGU